rnacentral:pre_miRNA from 14 species
UUUUUAUUGAAAAACCCCUGGAGUGGGGAGACCCUCACUCAAGUCUAGGGAUGAUGCGACCCCCCAAGAACUCACGUGAGACC